CGCCGGCUUACCUUGUAAUUGGAGAUUUCGCAAGAGAAAUGGAUUUGCUGACUGUUGCAUGUGGAUCGGUGGAGAUCAGCCAGCGCUACCCGAACGCCAUUGCCGUAACGCUGGGAUCCGUGAAGACUUACGCGGAAGCGUAUACAACCG